AUUGAACGCUGGCGGCAGGCCUAACACAUGCAAGUCGAGCGGCAGCGGAAAGUAGCUUGCUACUUUGCCGGCGAGCGGCGGACGGGUGAGUAAUGUCUGGGAAACUGCCUGAUGGAGGGGGAUAACUACUGGAAACGGUGGCUAAUACCGCAUAACGUCGCAAGACCAAAGAGGGGGACCUUCGGGCCUCUUGCCAUCAGAUGUGCCCAGAUGGGAUUAGCUAGUAGGUGGGGUAACGGCUCACCUAGGCGACGAUCCCUAGCUGGUCUGAGAGGAUGACCAGCCACACUGGAACUGAGACACGGUCCAGACUCCUACGGGAGGCAGCAGUGGGGAAUAUUGCACAAUGGGCGCAAGCCUGAUGCAGCCAUGCCGCGUGUAUGAAGAAGGCCUUCGGGUUGUAAUGUACUUUCAGCGGGGAGGAAGGUGUUGAGGUUAAUAACCUCAGCAAUUGACGUUACCCGCAGAAGAAGCACCGGCUAACUCCGUGCCAGCCGCCGCGGUAA
rnacentral:rRNA from 1 species